AUUGAACGCUGGCGGAAUGCUUUACACAUGCAAGUCGAACGGCAGCACGGACUUCGGUCUGGUGGCGAGUGGCGAACGGGUGAGUAAUGUAUCGGAACGUGCCCAGUCGUGGGGGAUAACGUAGUGAAAAUUACGCUAAUACCGCAUACGAUCUAUGGAUGAAAGCGGGGGACCGCAAGACCUCGCGCGAUUGGAGCGGCCGAUAUCAGAUUAGGUAGUUGGUGGGGUAAAGGCCCACCAAGCUAACGAUCUGUAGCUGGUCUGAGAGGACGCCCAGCCACACUGGAACUGAGACACGGUCCAGAAUCCUACGGGAGGCAGCAGUGGGGAAUUUUGGACAAUGGGCGAAAGCCUGAUCCAGCCAUUCCGUGUGCAGGAUGAAGGCCCUCGGGUUGUAAACUGCUUUUGUACAGAACGAAAAGGUUUCUACUAAUACUAGGAGCUCAUGACGGUACUGUAAGAAUAAGCACCGGCUAACUACGUGCCAGCAGCCGCCGUAA
rnacentral:rRNA from 1 species